rnacentral:rRNA from 1 species
UACGUAGGGGGCAAGCGUUGUCCGGAUUUAUUGGGCGUAAAGAGCGUGUAGGCGGCUAGAUAGGUCUGUUGUGAAAACUGGAGGCUCAACCUCCAGCUGUCGAUGGAAACCAUCUGGCUAGAGUCCGGAAGAGGAGAGUGGAAUUCCUGGUGUAGCGGUGAAAUGCGCAGAUAUCAGGAAGAACACCCGUGGCGAAGGCGGCUCUCUGGGACGUGACUGACGCUGAGACGCGAAAGCGUGGGGAGCAAACAGG